AGCCCCCGGCCUUGGGAAACCCAUUAGGGCAGAUGUUUUCCUUAGGAACUGUAAAAGCUUGAGUAACCAGCUUGGCUUCUGCCUGUGCCGAAUUGACAAUACUACUACGUUUGGCACUAAAUCCCGCUGUGGAGGAGUUAGUUUCAGUGAGAUGGAGGGAAACAAGACUCCUAGCAAGAUUGACAAACUUGUUUUGCGAAAUAUUAAAUUGCAGAAAGACGACCGAUGGAAUCUUUUGCAUAUUUAUUUAGAAACCCCAUUGGGUCCAGUAGGGCUUACUUCCAAGCAAAGGUGCCCGAUGUUGCAGGCAGCUUCUGUUUCGGUUACUUCGGUAUACUGCGACAGAAUGUCUGGAAAUACGGCAAGGGGGGCGGGGCGGUCCUUUAAUGGUCCCUCCGGGUCCGGGACGUAGAAGGAGUGGCUUGAUUCGCUCCACGUGCACAAGCUCACACAGCUUUGUGCUCAGUCAGGGUAUUAUUUAAUUCCGCUUAGUUUGCUAGUUUUAUACUCUCACAGAGCACUCUUGGUUACUCAGAAUUAAGUCCCGUUGAGGGUGUACCUUCAAAAACCAUCUCCAGUGCCGGAGUAUAUAGGGUAGAUUCUGCCCAUUUGUGGAUGAAGAACUUGGGAGCAGUUCUGAUGCUGUGCUUGAAAGAAGAUGAAAGUUCUGAGAUUCCAAUUGAGAAGCAUCCUUUUGGAGAAGACUAAGCGUGGUUCAUUUGCCUUGGUGUCCCUGUGCUCAUUCAGUGUUCAAGUAUCCUUAGGGGCUUUAGCAUCCCCCCAUCUUCCCCCUUAGCAACAGUGAAGCAAAAUUGACAGAAGCAAGAUCAAGAAGGAAGUGGCUGUUCCCCAACAUGGCAGCCUUCUUGAAUAAGAUACAGUUCUUUCCUGGGUGGGUCUUAGCCACCUGAACAAGCCCGUGGCUGAUAUCUGGACUAAUGAAGCGCUUGUGGAAGGGUACUUUCCUAGCUGUUUCACUAGCCACUUGCACUAAAUCUGGAGCUUGCAUUCCAGACUAACGUUGCACAAUCACAAGCAUUCUUGCGCAGCUGUGGCAUGUCUUAAUUGUUUUAAAUGGAAUGUUUGCAUAACUAGUAUUUAAGGGGUUUUUUAGAAUGAUAUUUAUUUUUAUUUAUAUAUUUAUCAUAUUUCUAUACUGUCUGACAUAUGCAUCUCUAAGCAGAAGGGAUGAUAAAGAAGACAUGAUCUUCUUGCAUUAGCACAACUAUACUUGUUAUGCAAGCUCUUCAUUAGGAUGUUAUCCAGUAUUUGUAGAUGAGACGGAGAGGCAUCAACUUUGUUUGUUUUUUCAAAUUUGCCCAUCUCCGGGCAUUUACAUGUACAAUAGUAAAUUCAUUAUUAGAAUUUGGUAAUGGACAAGAAUUAAAAUUAGCAGGAAAUAUGCUAAAUUUGCAAAAACAAAAGAGGUUUCCUCACUUUCAGUACUGAAGUAUACUUUGAAAGCAAAUUGGUAUUUGUGAAUAAUGCAUAUAUUUUUCCAUGCAUUAUUUCCAUAAAAAUAAAAACUACCAAUUAUUUUGAUACAUAGGCAAUCUGGUAUCUUUGUAUUUCUCAUAAUUAAUGUAUACAUAUUAAAUCACCAAGAGAAAAGUGUUUCCUUGAUGUCAUUGCAGUUAAUUAAUUAUGCAUGUUAUGAAACCAAACAUCACCACACAUACCAUGAAAAUUUAGAAAACUUUGUAAAGCUUGCAAAAACGUUCUUUUUCCCAAACGGAUGAAAAGAAUGUUCACUUUGCAUUUAUAAACAUUUUAUG